rnacentral:tRNA from 1 species
GCGGACGUAGCAUAAAGGUAAUGCUUCGGCCUUCCAAGUCGAUUACUUCGGGUUCGAUUCCCGCUGUCCGCUCCA